CCGGGCCUCGUGGAACCCGAGAGCCGCUUGCGCGACGGAGCCGGGUCAGGUCCACGCUGGAGGCCGGGCGCGACCUGACCCGCAGGAGCGCGGGUGGCGGUAGGGGAGGGACCGGGGCUGCGGGGACGUCCUUUCCUGCAGUCGCCGCGCGCUGCCUCCGCACCCCAUUCAUCCUCCCCACGACCGUCCCAGGGCGGUGUUGCUUUCAGCCACUUUUCCAAACGAAGUUCUCCAGCCUCAAGGAGGAGAGCAACUUGCCCAAGCAGACUCCGCUGGAAAGGAGCGGGGAAGGGAUUUGAAUCCAGGACUUUUUUUUUUUUCCUUCCGCUCUAUUUCUCGUGGCUCCCGACUCCUAGGGCUCCAAGGAAGGUAAUUUGCGCCCCUUCGCGCCCCGGGUUGUGAUUCUUCUGCGAUCAGCCGCCGGGUGCACCUCCUGGGGAACUCUGUGGGCGGAGGCAUCGGCUGCGCUGAGUGAUGCAGAGAAACUCGUUAGGAUCAGCUGCUAAAACCUGAACGCUCCUUGGCUGCUUCUUCACUGGACUUGUGCUGAGAACUAAAGUGGAAAUGACCCAGUGAGGAAGGAAAAUGAGCAUGGCCUGCACCGGUCACACAAUUAAAACAUAUACGCUGGCCAAAGGUACAUCACUCCUCCACCCAUCUUCGGAGAGAGAAGGGCCCUUUUUGACCGGGAAGCCUACUAAAGCAUUCCACUGGGGAAUUCUCUGCCCCUUCUGGAGAGACACUGUGAGAAAACCUUGUUCUUUAGAAUGCAGCCACACAAAGGGUUUUGUGCAAAUACCAAGCCAUGAUUCUAUAAAUGCAAAGAAGCAUUAGGGAUGAUAUGUGAACAAAAGCUGGACAGAGGAUGCAUGCCCAGAUGCUGUCUUGGCCAGGUUGCAAUUUGAAUGAUCUAAUGUUUUCUGGCUCCUUCUUGCUUUGCUUUUCCAAUUUGGUUUGAAUAUUUGCAUUGCUGUAUUAUUUUUCCCUGUACAACUGCUGUUGUCUGUACACAAUUAGGUCAUUUUCAUAGUUGGGUGAAGAGAUAUGGCAGACUCGAGAUGAGCUGCAGCUGGUAGCUGCACACAUCCCUCCUGGGAUGUGUAUUUAGAUCCCCAUCCCUUUGGUCCCAAAGACACUACCUGCACCCAGCAUCUAAAAGUUUUAAUGUAAGUCAUCCAACCAAGUGGAAAGAACCACGACAUCCACUGUAAUGGAUGGGGAAGCACAUCUUGUUUCUAUAAGUUGUGGGUUGAUUUGCUGAUCUAAUCAUACUGUUCCUUGGGCCAAAUCUAACCCUGUAUUGCUAUGCUCCAGACAAAAGAAAGGACUGUUUCCUGGCGGCCUGUGGCUUCUUGGUCUGUGGAAGGUCUGCUGAGGUAGACCCUGGGCAAGGGAGAAGGAAAGGAAAUUAACAGGGUGAGGAGGAAGGACCAGCUGCCCCCAGAGGUGAGCCCAGAAAUGCAUGUAGAUGCUCAGGCCAUUACAGAGGCUGGACUUUGAACUAGGACUCUGAAGAGUGAGAGAAAGGGGAUCCCAAAGGAACAGAGGUUUAUUUGGCAGAUGAAAGCUGAUCAGGGCCAUGUUCACAAAGUGUUCUGCAAUCCCUCACUGGUGUAAACUCUCACUGAUAACACGCUGCACUGAUAGAGCUUUCUCAACUAACUGGAGUUUGUGGCCCUUUGGGCAAGGCAAGGGCUAAAUUUUAUGUCCGUGCUACCUUUGAAAUAAGGUUGGGCUAAACAAAUGGAAAGGACAGUCUGUGAUUAUAGUCACUGGGGAAGCCCCCUGACUCUUAAAGUGCUUCAUAAUCAGUCAUGACUGUACCCAGCUUACUGAAUGGACAGGACAAUCUCUCUGGCUUAGCCUUCUCACUGUUUCCUGCUUGCUUCCUCUCUCUGUACCUUAGAUCUGAACCUGUGACAUUGGCCUUGUUUCUCCUCUCUUCUUUCUUCUUUUUAUCUAAACCACUCAUUCACCACUCACUUACUAGAUAUUUGAUCACCUUCGAUGUGUCAGACAUGUGCUAGAUGCUGGGGUUACAAGUGAGUGAGGCGUCUCUGCUCUCACGGAGUCUGCAGUCUAAUGAGGGACACCCCCCAUGAAGUGUGAUGGGUGUCAUGUGAAGGGAAACCCACACUCAGGUGCUGAGUGAUGGCUGAAUGAUGAGGCAGCCAACUCUGAGAGAUGGGACACCUUACCCAAGCUCUCACAGAGGGACAAUGACAGGGCUGGAGCUAAAGAGCUCAUUCGGGAGUAGAAGCCUGGCCUCUUGCCACCACCUCCUUCCAGAGCCACACUCAGAAUCUUCUCUUCUGGUUCGUUCUCAUCCAGUUGCAUGUGCAUCAUACUCACCCUUUUCCCAAGACUGAGCUAUUCCUACCUCAGUAAAAUUCACAUUUGUCACUAAAGCCAGAUGUCCAUUCCAUCUCUAAGAAUUGACGUGCUGAUAACUUGAACUGAUAGACAUAAAAGUACUUUGAGAACUAAACCACAACACAAACCAAAGUACCAAAACUACUAUCUAACAUAUUAAUUCAAUCAAUGAAUCAGUCAAGGGAUCAAUCAUCCAUCAAUACUAGGUUCUGUGGGGGUGGGACAUGUCUUCAUGUACAGUAUGGCCCCAUCCCUAAAGGAAUUUGUGGACAAGUUGGUGGUAGAGGGUUAAAGAGGGAAGAAAGUCGGCAUUUAUUGCUUGUUGUGUAGUAUGCACUGUGCUACCUGCUUUUCCUUACAGUAUUUCAGAUAAUCCUCACAACAAUCUAGGAGGUCAGAAUGAUUUUUCUUAAUGUAUGGAUGGAAUGCCCUCCCCCAAUCCCUGUCUGUUCAAGCACAAUGUAGCAUAAUAGCUAAAAGCCUUGGAACAGGACUCAAACUCCUUGAAUUCGUAUCCAGGCAGUGUCAGUUACUUUUUGUAUGACUGAGCAUAUUACUCAAAUUCUCUGUGUUUCAGGUAUAAAGUUGGGGUGAUAAGAAUGGUGGCAAUUUUAUGCUUUGUUGUAAGGAUAAGGUGACCAUGCAUGGGAAGUACUUGCCAUAGUGCCCUGGUCCAGAGUAAGCACUAGAUAAAAAUUAGGUAAUCUCAUUAUUAUCCAGCUCCAAUCCCUUUUUAUCUGCAAAGCCUUCCCAGAUCCCUCAUCAGAAUUGACCUCUUUUACUUCUGUAUCCUCACAUCACUGUGGGCAUGCCUCAGCACAUUCUUAUGUGUACCUGGUUAUUAGUGUCUGGCAUGGAAAAAAACAUUCAAUAAAUGAGGAUAGUUGGAUGAA